AGCAGCCGCGGUAAUUCCAGCUCCAAUAGCGUAUAUUAAAGUUGUUGCAGUUAAAAAGCUCGUAGUUGAAUUUCGGGGUUCUACCGUUGGUCGGGCUUUGUCUGUACUGGCGUGUAGAAUUUCUACCUUCUGGGGAACCAUCAUGUUAUUAAUUUAACGUGGUGGGAAACCAGGACCUUUACCUUGAAAAAAUUAGAGUGUUCAAAGCAGGCUUAUGUCUGAAUACAUUAGCAUGGAAUAAUAGAAUAGGACGGUGGUCCUGUUUUGUUGGUUUCUGAAUCUCCGUAAUGAUUAAUAGGGAUAGUUGGGGGCAUUAGUAUUCAAUUGUCAGAGGUGAAAUUCUUGGAUUUAU
rnacentral:rRNA from 1 species